rnacentral:lncRNA from 1 species
GCUUGCCAGCCUCUGCCAGCCUGCACCCCAAUAGGCAGUUUCCUGCUUGCGAGCUCUAGCUGAAAUUCUAGUUUGCCAGCCUUUGCUCAGACCAGCUGUGGGACAGUUAUGGCCUCAAUCAACUCAGGAACCUCAACUUUUUUUUUUUUUCUUUUUUUCUGAGAUGAAGUCUUGCUCUUUCACCCAUGCUGUAGUGCAGUGGCGCCA